rnacentral:rRNA from 1 species
GACGUAGGGGGCCCGCGUUGUUCGGAAUUACUGGGUGUAAAGGGUUCGUAGGCGGUGCGGCAAGUCGGGAGUGAAAUCGUCGUGGGCUUAACCCAGAGGCUGCUUCCGAAACUGCUGUGCUUGAGUGUGGGAGAGGACGCGUGGAAUUGCAGGUGUAGACGGUGAAAUGCGUAGAUAUCUGCAGGAACACCCGUGGCGAAAGCGGCGCCGCUGGACCACUACUGACGCUGAGGAACGGAAAGCUAGGGGAGCAAACAGG